UCUCUGCAUCCUCUCCAGCAUAGGUUGUCAUUGGUAUUUUUUAUUUUCCAUUCUGACAGGUGUGAGGUGGUAUCUCAGAGUUGUUUUGAGUUGCAUUUCUCUGAUGGCCAAGGAUUUUGAGCACUUUCUUAAGUGUCUUUCAGCCAUUUCAGAUUCCUCUGUUGAGAAUUCUCUAUUUAGUUCUGCACCCCAAUUUUUAAUUUCAUUGUUUGGUGUUUUGGUGGCUAGCUUCUUGAGCUCCUUAUAUAUUUUGGAAAUCAGCCCUCUGUCAGAUGUGGGAUCGGUGAAUUAUAGGCAUUUAUAAGCUAUCUGAUGUGGACCAUGGGAACCAAACUCAGGUCCUCUGCAAACUGUUGAACUGUCCCUCCAGCUCUAUGAUUUCAUUUGAAAGUUAAGCAUUCUGCAGUUAGUUAAUCAUGUUGGCGAUUGUACAACUCAGGAAUAUACUGACAAAUCACAAACUUAUUACUUCAAAUGGGCAAGACACAUGGUGUAUGCAUUGUACCACAGUAAAGCUGUUGGGCUCUGCAAAAGAGACGAGAAAGCAAAGAGGCUCCAGGGGUGAAGCCUGCCUCUAGUGAACCGGGUGCCCAGGGUACUGCAUGAGGCUAGCAUGUUUGUCUUCUUGAUGACACCUACAGGAUGAGCACUGUACCUUGACCCUUUCUGUCCCACACUCCAGAUACCACAGGAGUUCUGGAAUGGAAGGUGUGCCAGAGAAUGCUGUAUUUUAAAACAAAUGUGCCAAGCAAGCUGGCUUCCAGGAGAUAAUGGAACACUGUAGGAGGUGUGACCCACUGACAGUGUGUAGGGACCACAGCAAGCUUCUCUUUCUUGGUUUUAUGGAGCAGCUUUACUCACUGCUGGUGGGCUCAAAGGGGAAAGGAGGUCCCAGACUGAUGCAUGUAAGACCUGACCACAAGCAGCGGUGAUCAGAAGUCUGGGCCCAAUGGAGCUGAAUCAAGGUGUCAAGGGGCAGGGCUCCAUAUGGGAAGAUUAGGAGAAAGGCCUUCUUCAGAUAGGGAAGGAGGAAUCCCUGCUUCUUCCCACAUGGCUCACUCUCAGGCCAGCCACAAGCGGGAUUUGCUCAGCAUCUCAAGAUGGCUCCCACCCAUCACCUGGAAAAGAAAACGCUGCUGCUCAGAUGUCUUUGAUUGUCCAGUACUUUGUGCCUCAAAGAUGCCUUUCCUUUGCAUCUGUCGUGACUGUGAAAUCCUUGCCUACAGACUCCUGGCACUAUACUUCUUACGGACUGACACCCCCACCACCAGCCUGUAGAGCUCUCAUGGCUUCACCAGUGAAGAAAUUCUCUUCAUUAGUUUGCUCUACUGACUUAACCAAGGAAUCCUUUCACCAUUGCUCCCCCACCAAAUUAAUAAUCAAGUUACUAAUAAAAAAAUGGAAAAUGUUA
rnacentral:lncRNA from 1 species